rnacentral:lncRNA from 1 species
UCCUGAGCAAUAGGGGGGGUGUAUAUAGAACCACCCUGGUUGAGGCGUCCAACACCAAUAAUUGAGAGGAAGGGGUGAGGAAAGUGCAAUAUAAUAUAAUAUAUUAUAUUUCUUUUCUACCACCAAUAAUUCAGAGGAUGGAUGCAAGGAAGCUUCGUGGAAACCACGGAGUGAGGGCUUUCAAAGGUCAUGAUCGACGAAUAAGUUCCCACUUCACACCCUACCCGCCAAUGCCGGUGAGAAAACAGCAGUAUUGCUUUGAAUGGACGCCAAGGCUUGUGGGCCCAUAGCCUGAUGGGAACCAUAAAGUUGAGACACGAAAUGAAAUAGUUAUUGGAACCUUGCACACAAAAUUGAGUUCUGAUUCUACCAAUAGCUAGCAAAAGGGUCAGGUUCUGAGCCAAUUUGUUGGAGGUUUGAGGGUCCAUAUAAAGUCGGUGGAAGCACUCCUCAGCAUUCCCAGCUCCUUCCAUAACCCAGAUGCCAACAUCUCCACCAACGGUCCGACAACAGGACCGGCAGCUGCAAGUGCAAAUUCAGCCAUGAUUUCGAAGGAUGGUUGGAGCAAGAGACCGAAGAACUAACACCAAUAACCGAGAGGAAGGGGUGAGGGCUUCUCAAAAACCAUGUGACAGGAGGGAGCCAAGACAAGACGAAUUAGUGGAAAUAAAAAAUUAUGGACAUCUUAACCCAAAGAAAUAAAAAAAUAAAUAAAUUAGUGGACUUGCUUUGAAAGGAGCUCUCUUGUAUUGAGGAGCCAGGCUGUUUGACGGUGGUUGCAACCAUGUAGCAUUCUUACUAACUCUUCAAGUUAUGCUUCAAACAUAAUCAUCAAGGUAUUCUUUACCAACAAAAAAAAAUAAAUCAAAUUGUGCGUAAUAAAAUCACAUGAUAAUACCAAGUUAGCGUGCCAUGUCAAUUAGUAAAUGGUGCGUAAUAAAAUCACUGCUAUGAGAUUUUUGUAUGCAAGAGUUGCAUCACUUCAUAUAUAUGCGAUACUUUUGUGAAAAUAACUGAUCUUCUUUCAGGAGCUUUGACAGUCCAAUGAUUCUUGGUGCUUUGAGAUUAGCACGAGGAAUCUAAUCUGGACGGAGCGGAUCUGACUCCAAGCUCUCAUCCAUAUUUAGAUUUUUUUUUUUUCCGACGUCCGAUCGAAUCUUGAUGAGUGGAG